rnacentral:rRNA from 1 species
UAGCCGUAAACGAUACUCGCUAGGUGUCGGCCACGGUGCGACCGUUGUCGGUGCCGUAGGGAAGCCGUGAAGCGAGCCACCUGGGAAGUACGGCCGCAAGGCUGAAACUUAAAGGAAUUGGCGGGGGGAGGCACCACCAACGGGUGGAGCUUGCGGUUUAAUUGGAUUCAACGCCGGAAAUCUUACCGGGACCGACAGCAACAUGAAGGCCAGGCUGAAGACUUUGCCGGAUUAGCUGAGAGGUGGUGCAUGGCGUAGUCGUG